CUCCGAUGCUCAAGUCAGUUCUCUGCCUCAACAAGAAUGGAGUGCUCGAACGGAGAGUUUAGCAGAGUUUUGAGAUAAGGCGAAAGGGCUUAAGGAAUAACGUAUCUGAGUCUCCCCUUUUAUAGGCGGGGGAGGCAACGGACUGAUGGCGACGUUUGUAACCGCCUGGUAGUGGGCCGCCCACGGUCAGGGGAAAUGAUUGCGAAAGAUAAUGGAGCAGACACGUGGGC
rnacentral:lncRNA from 1 species